rnacentral:rRNA from 1 species
AUUGAACGCUGGCGGCAUGCUUUACACAUGCAAGUCGGACGGCAGCACAGAGAAGCUUGCUUCUUGGGUGGCGAGUGGCGAACGGGUGAGUAACAUAUCGGAACGUACCGAGCAGUGGGGGAUAACUAAUCGAAAGAUUAGCUAAUACCGCAUAUCUUCUGAGGAAGAAAGCAGGGGACCAUUUGGCCUUGCGCUGUUUGAGCGGCCGAUAUCUGAUUAGCUAGUUGGGGGGGUAAAGGCCUACCAAGGCGACGAUCAGUAGCGGGCCUGAGAGGAUGAUCGGCGACACUGGGAGUGAGACACGGCCCAGACUCCUACGGGAGGCAGCAGUGGGGAAUUUUGGACAAUGGGCGCAAGCCUGAUCCAGCCAUGCCGCGUGUCUGAAGAAGGCCUUCGGGUUGUAAAGGACUUUUGUCAGGGAAGAAAAGGGCGGGGUUAAUACCCCUGUCUGAUGACGGUACCUGAAGAAUAAGCACCGGCUAACUACGUG